rnacentral:rRNA from 1 species
GGAGUCUAUGAAUCGAAGGUGUGAGAAGCAAAUAGACAGUGGAACAAGACCACAUGCAAGACUAACUGCGGGGCUAAAAUGAGGCUGAAGAAGCAAAAGGAUGGAACACUUGUCAUAAAAGAGAUAUGCUGGGAACACAACCAUAGGCUACAGCUCACCCCCCAAAUGCUUGUCUUCUUGCACUCCCACAAAAACUUUGACAAGACAAUCUUGGAGUACGUCAAGUACCUGCAAUUCAGCAUUGAACACGUGCAAAUCAUGAGCAUACUGGGCGGCGAUGACCCCGGUAGCUACUUCCUCGAAAUGAAUGCCAAAUACCUGACUAACAUCAAAGCAAAGAAUUCAAGGAUGGAUGAUGUGGACGAUGUCCUGAAGACUGUCAACUUCUUUAGGAGACAACUUGAUGAGUCCGACAGAGUGAAGAACAUAUUCUGGGCAAACGCGAGCUGCCGAGGGGCAUAUCAAGAAUUUGGUAACUGUGUGACGUUUGACACCACGUAUAAGACCAACAAAUACCAUAUGCCACUUGGAGUGUUUGUGGGUACUAACAACCACUUACAGACUACAAUCUUUGCUUUCGCCCUGAUAAGAGAUGACGAUGUAGAUUCAUUCAGAUGGCUUUUCAAAACAUUUUUAAGAUUCAUGAGAGGGAAGGCUCCUACAUGCAUCCUCACAGACCAGUGCCUAGCAAUGUCUUUGGCAAUCCCAGAUGUUUUCAGGAACACCGUACACAAACUAUGCCACUGGCACAUUAUGAAGAAGUACAGGGAACACCUUGCGUACCUGUACAACCUCCACUAAACCUUUAAGGAUGAAUCCACAACAAUCCUUAACUGGCCCCUCAUGCCAACUGAGUUUGAGACUGCCUGGAAAGAACUCAUGGAUACAUACAACCUCCAUGAUGAUGCCACGAUGGUGGCAAUGUGUAACGAGCGCGAGAGAUGGCUAUCAGCUUACUUCAAAGAAAUUUUCUAUGCCAGAAUGACAUCCACACAACGGAGUGAGAGCAUGAACUAUGUGCUGACGAAUAACUUCGUAAGUGAGAGACCAAACCUGCACCGGUUUUUCAGCCACGUAAACACCUGGUCAAAACCAGGAGGCAAGCAGAAAACCAGGAGACAAUGGGUAACCGGAUAUAGCUCUAUCACAUGUCGUAAGACAAAUAAUGUGCUUACUAAAGUAAUUCUUUCUUAG